rnacentral:rRNA from 1 species
UACGAAGGGGGCUAGCGUUGUUCGGAAUUACUGGGCUUAAAGGGUUUGUAGGCGGCCUUGUAAGUCAGGUGUGAAAUCCCUCGGCUCAACCGAGGAAUAGCGCUUGAUACUGCAAGGCUUGAGGGAGACAGGGGUAAGCGGAACUGAUGGUGGAGCGGUGAAAUGCGUUGAUAUCAUCAGGAACACCGGUGGCGAAAGCGGCUUACUGGGUCUCUUCUGACGCUGAGGAACGAAAGCUAGGGGAGCGAACGGG